AUGAAGGCCUCUGGCACGCUUGGAGAGUACAAGGUGGUGGGGCGCCGCCUCUCUACCAUAUGCAGAUCUUUGCACCUAACCAUGUUGUGGCCAAGUCCUGCUUUUGGUACUUUGUGUCUCAGCUAAAGAAGAAGUCUUCAGGGGAAAUUGUCUACUGUGGGCAGGUAUUUGAGAAAUCCCCCCUUGCGGGUGAAGAACUUCAGAAUCUGGCUUCGCUAUGACUCCCACAGCGGAACCCACAACAUGUAUCGGGAAUACCGAGACUUGACCACUGCAGGCGCUGUCACCCAGUGCUAUCCGGACAUGGGUGCCCGGCACCGUGCCUGGGCCCACUCAAUCCAGAUCAUGAAGGUCGAGGAGAUUGCAGCCAGCAAAUGCCGGCGGCCGGCAGUCAAGCAGUUCCAUGACUCCAAGAUUAAGUUCCCACUGCCCCAACGGGUCCUACGUCGUCAGCACAAGCCAUGCUUCACCAAGACGCCCAACACCUCCUUCUAGGUGCAGGGCCC